UACGUAGGGCGCAAGCGUUGUCCGGAUUUAUUGGGCGUAAAGAGCGUGUAGGCGGCCAGGUAGGUCCGUUGUGAAAACUGGAGGCUUAACCUCCAGCUGUCGAUGGAAACCAUCUGGCUAGAGUCCGGAAGAGGAGAGUGGAAUUCCUGGUGUAGCGGUGAAAUGCGCAGAUAUCAGGAAGAACACCCGUGGCGAAGGCGGCUCUCUGGGACGGUACUGACGCUGAGACGCGAAAGCGUGGGGAGCGAACAGG
rnacentral:rRNA from 1 species